GGGGAGUCAUGCGUUAGGGUCUUGACUCAUUACAUCAAUAAGAAUGCUGAUAAUGUGUCACUAUCAGGUGCCUAUGCUACAACUCUUCCCGAAGAAAGGCAGAGAGAGAGACACACUAAUGACCUUAGCGGUAGCUUACUACAAGCUGCAACUCACAGAAGAGCAACUAUUAUGAAUAUCUUUGUAUAUCAACAGUUCUUCAAACCAUACAGACAGAAUUGAGUUGCUGGAGAGUUUGGUCCACCGCUUCUGCUGCUGAUUUUCAGCCUAUUUUGAAUAAAUGACUUUAUCUGUAGCCUUAAUUUUAUGUAAAUAAACCUUUACCUCUGUGUAAAUGAUUGUCUCAUUUUAUUUUUUAUCUUAAGAGUUGUUGCUUAUAUCACACAAGCAACAAAUAGGUAGGUACUAUAAUUAUUAUUGCCAUAAUUAUACUUUGAAAACAAACCAUGAGAGUUUUGCUAGAAUGAAACCAACAAGUCUGGAGAACUAUUACUAGUAAAUGAAUAUUAUUUAAAGACACUUACUAAUAGAAUGUUUCUCGUGUCAGCAUUGUAUGCCAAGAACUCGUUCUUUUCCAUAUUUUUUCAGCAGCUUUUGAAUACGGACCUAUUCUUCUUUAUCGUGGCCUUCUUUUCCCAAUGGAUCGCGAUACUAUCUUCUCUGUUUAUUGGAUGGGACUUCGUACGCUGUAAAUAAACAGGUUUUGUAACGACGAAAGUAAAAACACUUCGGACAAUAAUAUAGGGAAGCAAGAUAACAGUGAGGAACGCAUUGAACUGUGCAUGGCAAAGUUUUCAUCAGACAAUGCCUCCAAUCACCAUUUAUUGAGAUUAUUAUGUUAUUUUCCUUUGUUCUUUUCAUCGUAUGUAUGGAUAAUUAUUAUGUUCGUUUGGAUUAAUUACACACAACUAUUGGAAUAA